rnacentral:rRNA from 1 species
CCCUUGAGAGUGGCGAACGGGUGAGUAAUAUAUCGGAACGUGCCCAGUCGUGGGGGAUAACGUAGAGAAAUUUACGCUAAUACCGCAUACGAUCUAAGGAUGAAAGCGGGGGACCGUAAGGCCUCGCGCGAUUGGAGCGGCUGAUAUCAGAUUAGCUUGUUGGUGAGGUAAAAGCUCACCAAGGCGACGAUCUGUAGCUGGUUUGAGAGAACGACCAGCCACACUGGGACUGAGACACGGCCCAGACUCCUACGGGAGGCAGCAGUGGGGAAUUUUGGACAAUGGGCGAAAGCCUGAUCCAGCAAUGCCGCGUGUGGGAAGAAGGCCUUCGGGUUGUAAACCACUUUUGUACGGAACGAAAAGGUCUGCUUUAAUAAAGUGGGCUCAUGACGGUACCGUAAGAAUAAGCACCGGCUAACUACGUGCCAGCAGCCGCGGUAAUACGUAGGGUGCGAGCGUUAAUCGGAAUUACUGGGCGUAAAGCGUGCGCAGGCGGUUAUAUAAGACAGUUGUGAAAUCCCCGGGCUCAACCUGGGAAUUGCAUCUGUGACUGUAUAGCUAGAGUACGGUAGAGGGGGAUGGAAUUCCGCGUGUAGCAGUGAAAUGCGUAGAUAUGCGGAGGAACACCGAUGGCGAAGG